UGCAUUUUUUGCAAAGUUCUAUUUAAACCGCACCAUUUCAUUUUAGCAGAGUAAUGCAAUACAACUUGUUCUCAUAUUGAGCAAGUGAAAGACUAAUGGGGCACAUAGGUCAUUGGAGACAUAGUACACCCUGAAGUCCUAAGCAAUCUCUCCAGCCUGAUUUUGCUUUUUGAAACUGCUUCACUGUUUUCAAAACCCAAUCUGAAACACUAUUUGGCAGCUUUGAAGAUUGCUUAUGGAGAUAUUUUUGAGGUCUGCAGAAAGCAUGUAAUAGCAAUAUUGUGCUUGAAAUUCCUAGUGCUUCCAUGUGACCCACCUAAGUGUUCCUCAUUUCUUCGUGUAGUGAUUAUAGGCUCCUUAUUCAUGACUGUUGAAUUAAGCACCAGAAUUGUUUCUUAAUAGCAUGGGGCCAUAUGUUGCCCUCGCUAAGCAGCACAGUGGGGAACAAAGAGUACAAAUACCAGUGUAACGAAGCCAGACUAUGCGUGCCAAAGAGAAAAAAGAGAGGGCAUGCCAACUUCCAUGACAAGACCAGCAAUAGAAACUCCAUUGGACAAUGGUCAAUGGCAGAUAUGAUGCAAAUAUGAUUAUGAUUAAGAAUUAAAUUCCCAGGGGAAUACUGACUUUUUAUGGUAUAACCUUCCCUAAGGGCCUAGACAGCAUAGCUAAGGCAGCAGGGUUAGCUUUCUCCCUUCUCGUGACUGACAUUCCUACUAGGCAACACGAAUCAACAGCGGCACCAAUUGUGUUACCAGUGCUGGAAAGGGUUUGGAUGGUGCUUUUUAUGGGGCUUGCUUUUGAGCUAAAAUGUCUGAGGUUUAGGAAAAUGGGAUGAUGAGGCUAUACAGCACUUCUUCUGUGAGGAUUUCCCUUCUCCUUCCAAAGAAACAUGGGAUUCCUGCCUCUGAAAGCCCAGAGAAUCUUAAACCAACAGAUACAUGUGGAAAGAAAGUGGAUGGCCAAAGAAAGAAGUGCCUGAACCAAGAAUGGUGAAAGGAGCCGACCUGCCACAGCUGGCUGUCACAGUGGCUGUGGACUAGAUGCAGCAGGAGGUGGACAUAAGCAAGGCAUGGAGAGCACAUGCUGCUUGGGCCACAGCUGAACACUCUUCUGUCCUCUGCAUGGCAUGUUCUCACAGCAGGAGAGACUGUUUGAAAAGUAUUCAGAACUCUCCCAGGAGAUUACUAGAGGAAUAAAUGCUUCUGUCAUUCAUUCAUCUCCAUUUAUGUCAUCAGCAGAAACAAAUGUGUUGACAAGUGUUUCUUCAUAUGAACAACUUUUUCAUAAACUGAUGGACAAUUAACUGUCAACUCUGAAGAUGAAUCCAGAUGAGUUUCUGCAAAUUUUGGAGUACAGUACUCCACUCAGAGGGAGAAGACAUGUUUGUUCUUAGGUAUCUUUCCCAUUUAAAAAGUAAAGCUGAAAAAGUUUCACAGCUCCCAAACUCUCCCUGUAGUAUUUCACUAAAACAAAUAUCUGAUUUGCUUGUUUUCUGUAAUAAGGGAAAGGGCUAUUGAGUAGGUCGCAUCAGAAAGCAUCUCUCCAUAGGAAAAAAAUAAUAUUCUCUAGCAUUCUCUCUCAAAUGUGAAAACCUGUAAUUCAGUCCACAGUGUUCCAAUGCUGAAUUUCUCCAAACAAGAAGCAGAUAACAUGUUACAUUCUUAUGCAUUAUCACUGUUUUGUUUUGGUUUGGUUUGGUUUUUUUUUUUUUUUAAUUGCACUGCAUCAAAUAUAUCCCCAGAGAAACUACACUGAUAUUAAAGUUGUCCUCACGUAAAUAUAACGUAACAAGGUGAAAAGUUACCCUUUGAUACUGAUAUAUCCACAACACAUCCUAGUUUUAAUUAAGUAGGAGUGACACUUAAAAAUAGUUAAGAGCCUAAAGCAUUUUGCUAUCUGAACAGCAGAGGGCAAGUAUUUAACUCCAGUGCUACAGCCCACCCGCAGCAAAUACAGGCAUUUUUGCGUUCAAAAUUAGGCACUUAACGAUCUCAGGUUUUUUUCAGUAAUAUACUGCAAUAUUGAUGUACUCUAAUACCAGUAUCUCUAUAAAUCUUUUUGGAUAUUAAAUGGCAAGUAUCAUACUGACAAGGUCUUGGAAUUCUCUUACCACAUUGUGUAAUAACAAUAAUCCUUGCUCUUUGAUUGAGUACUUCUUGACAAAGGAAGAGAAGAGAGAAGCCUUGGAAGAGCACUAUAGACAUGAAGGACAUUCAGUCUGCCACUUCUCUCCAGGACCAAGCAGACUGCAGGGUUCCCUAUGGAUUCUUACCACAAUUUGCCUGAGUUUCUUAACUGUCUAUGUUUGUCAUUUUAAUUUUUUUUUUCAUGAACAUAUGUGUGAAAGGUGAGGGUUUGAUGAUUUUUUUAUGAAAAGGUAGGGCAACUGUUUUACCCUAUAGGAUACGCACUUGUGAUGUAAACGUGCCAGAAAUCCUGAUCAUCACAAUAAACGUAUGAGGGUAAAUUGAUGAAAAGAAAUGGUAUGGCCCCUUUCCUUUGCAGUCUAGCUAUUACUGGAAACAGUCACGUAGUGGUAUAAGCUCCAUAGGGUAAUUAGGUGCUUCAGUGCAAAGAUUCUAGGUAGACCAAAUUGACAAUAAUAUCACAUCUGUGCUGCCACUGCCUUUGCUGUCAGUUAGGUAACUGUAAAGAUGAUCCGGUUGUAAGUCCAACAUACUGUGAAAUGCAAGUUGUUGAACCAAAGCUAGAACACAGUAAAACUAUGGAUGUAAAAUAAACUUCCAAGUGAUUAAAAUGAAAACAAAAUGUGACCAUAAAUAUACAAUAUGCCUGUGGGAAACAAGAGUGCCACACUACAACCAAAUACCCAACAGAUGUUUAUCACUCAAUUCAGCAGUAAGCAGCAUGCACAACCACAUGCUGAGGUGGGCGUGCAAAAAGACAGGCACACAAGAAUCCACUUUAGGUAGCUGCAAAAUAAAAAAGACAUUAUACUGGAACAACUCCUCGAUCUGCCAGAGUAGUUCAGGAAAAGUAAAUGCAAAGCAAGCUGGCAAACAUUGCAAGGAAAGCAGCGCAGGUGUGGUGAAACAGGGGAAUGGCACGGGGGAAUACAAUAAAGCAGAUCUAGGUAACCUAGAGAAGCACGUGCUACUUGCUAAGAGUGACCAACUAGUGUUCCUGAAAUCCAUCCACAUAGGUGAGGAUUUCAAACUCUCUAAGGGCAAAAAAAUGGUUAUGAAGAUCAAGUUAAAGGUUUCUACUAAAAUAGAACUUUUUCUCCUACCAAUAAAAUAUAAAAAUAUGAAUAAGAACACUAGAAAUAUUACUCAGAACAAAAUUCAGGAAUAUCAAAUAAAUUGUCAAAUACAUGGAAUAGACUAUAUCCAUGAAACUAGACAAAAGAAAAUCAGUGGCCUUCUGCAUCAGAAAGACUAUUUUGGACCUUAGAAAUACCAGUUCCAGUAGAAGAAUAGACGUGUCAGUCAGAACCAAUGUGUCUCAGCAUCUCUUAAAAACCAAACUUUCCUCUUUAGGUUUUAAUGUUUUAGAAGUAAAACUUGGAAAAUUAACCCUGGAAGAAAUGCAUAUUAGUUCUACAUUUACAGGCAGCCAAAAGGAGUACAAAGCAAUUUGGACAGAGCAAUUUGUUAAUGCUGAGAUGGUACUGGCUGUACUUGGCUGAGAAAGUCUAGUCCAGGGAUAAAUAAGAUCAGAAAAUCUGUCCUUUGGAGGAAAGGUGAUUCAGGAAUGCCUCUGAGAAAUUGUCACUUAUCACAUGCAUGUUAGACAGAAUGUAAAAAAUAUUGUCAAGCUUCAUAGUUCAUCAGAUAAACUCAGAAAGCAAUUUUUUAUACUGUAUACAGUAGAGCUCAAGAGGGCUAUCUAUAAAUGUCUCAGUAGAAUCCAGGGUAAGCCACUGUUGCAGUCAUGAUAUUCAUGAGAUGGACUUCUAGUUUAGCAAAACUUAUCUGAGUUUAUGGUUAAAAUUCCACUGAUACCUAUUGUAAAAGGCUGAGAACCUCAGAUACUUUUCUUUUAUAAAAAGUAAAAUAGAAAUCUUGGAAGUUAAUUGAUAUUGAUAUAAUUAUUGUGAUUUACAGGAGGAUUUGCAUGAAACAAAUCGGUAUCAGGGACAAAUGCUGGCCAGAGAAACAAGAAAACCAGCUAAUGCUUCAUGAAGCUGCUUAGCAAGAAUUCUCCCUUCUAUGGCUUCUUAUGAAUUUGUUGUGUACAGUUUACAUUCUUGCAUAAAAUUUAUAUAAGCAUAAAAUAAUCUAAUGUCAGCAAUGAAUGUGAAUUUUUCAAUAAGACAAAUAUUUCAAAAAUACUAUCAAAGAAUAUAUAUUGAAUGGUAUCAUUAUUAAUGACAUUAUAAAUCCAUGUAUUGUGCCUAAGGAAUCUAAUGAGUGGGACACUGCUAUUAUAAACUCAGGAACACAGAAAUUCAUAUUUGGUAUAAACAAUCCUACAAAAAGCUAAUAUACCUAUAUGAAGGAAUUUUUUAUAAGAAAAAUCUGUUUUUCUCCUUCAAAAAUGGCAAUAUUGGGAUUAACAGAAAUUAUUUCUGGUUUGAAAGUAUUAUGGUGUCAGAGUGACUGUAGUUAAAUUCCCUAGCUGAAUUGCACUCAGAUCUCUUUGUUUGGCCUCCUGGUUUCAGCAGGGAUAGAGUUAAUUUUCUAGCAGCAGGUAUAGAGCUGUGUUUUUGAUUUAGGAUGAGAAUAAUGUUGAUAACACACUGAUGUUUUUAGUUGUUGCUAAGCAGUCAAGGAGUUUUCAGCUUCUCAUACUGGCCUGCCAACAACAAUGUGGGGGGUGCCCAAGAAGCUGGGAGGGGACAUGGUCAAGACCCAAACUGGCCAAAGUGAUAUUCCACACCAUAUGAAGUCAUGCUCAGCAUAUAACUGGGGGGGGUGGCUGGGAGGUGGGGUGGCUCAGGAACUGGCAGAGCAUCGGCUUCUGGUGGUGAGAAAUUGUGCUGUGCAUCCCUUGUUUUGUAUAUUCUUUAUUACUAUUACUAUCAUCAUCAUCAUCAUCAUCAUCAUCAUCUUCCUUUUCUGUCCUAUUAAACUGUCUUCAUUUUAACCC